AGAUUAAGUUAUUAAGGGCGCACGGUGGAUGCCUUGGCACUAGAAGCCGACGAAGGACGUUACUAACGACGAUAUGCUUUGGGUAGCUGUAAGUAAGCGUUGAUCCAGAGAUUUCCGAAUGGGGGAACCCAGCACGAGUUAUGUCGUGUUAUCGACAAGUGAAUUCAUAGCUUGUCAGAAGGCAGACCCGGAGAACUGAAACAUCUUAGUACCCGGAGGAAGAGAAAGAAAAAUCGAUUCCCUGAGUAGCGGCGAGCGAAACGGGAAGAGCCCAAACCAAUAAGCUUGCUUAUUGGGGUUGUAGGACACUCUAUACGGAGUUACAAAGGAAUAUAUUAGACGAAUCAUCUGGAAAGUUGAAUCAAAGAAGGUAAUAAUCCUGUAGUUGAAAAUAUAUUCUCUCUUGAGUGGAUCCUGAGUACGACGGAGCACGUGAAAUUCCGUCGGAAUCUGGGAGGACCAUCUCCUAAGGCUAAAUACUCUCUAGUGACCGAUAGUGAACCAGUACCGUGAGGGAAAGGUGAAAAGUACCCCGGAAGGGGAGUGAAAGAGAACUUGAAACCGUGUGCUUACAAGUAGUCAGAGCCCGUUAAUGGGUGAUGGCGUGCCUUUUGUAGAAUGAACCGGCGAGUUACGAUCUGAUGCAAGGUUAAGCAGGAGAUGUGGAGCCGUAGCGAAAGCGAGUCUGAAUAGGGCGUUGAGUAUUUGGUCGUAGACCCGAAACCAGGUGAUCUACCCAUGGUCAGGUUGAAGUUCAGGUAACACUGAAUGGAGGACCGAACCGACUUACGUUGAAAAGUGAGCGGAUGAACUGUGGGUAGCGGAGAAAUUCCAAUCGAACUUGGAGAUAGCUGGUUCUCUCCGAAAUAGCUUUAGGGCUAGCCUCAAGUGAUGAUUAUUGGAGGUAGAGCACUGUUUGGACGAGGGGCCCCUCUCGGGUUACCGAAUUCAGACAAACUCCGAAUGCCAAUUAAUUUAACUUGGGAGUCAGAACAUGGGUGAUAAGGUCCGUGUUCGAAAGGGAAACAGCCCAGACCACCAGCUAAGGUCCCAAAAUAUAUGUUAAGUGGAAAAGGAUGUGGCGUUGCCCAGACAACUAGGAUGUUGGCUUAGAAGCAGCCAUCAUUUAAAGAGUGCGUAAUAGCUCACUAGUCGAGUGACACUGCGCCGAAAAUGUACCGGGGCUAAACAUAUUACCGAAGCUGUGGAUUGUCCGUAGGACAAUGGUAGGAGAGCGUUCUAAGGGCGUUGAAGCAUGAUCGCAAGGACAUGUGGAGCGCUUAGAAGUGAGAAUGCCGGUGUGAGUAGCGAAAGACGGGUGAGAAUCCCGUCCACCGAUUGACUAAGGUUUCCAGAGGAAGGCUCGUCCGCUCUGGGUUAGUCGGGUCCUAAGCUGAGGCCGACAGGCGUAGGCGAUGGAUAACAGGUUGAUAUUCCUGUACCACCUAGCAUCGUUUUAAUCGAUGGGGG
rnacentral:rRNA from 1 species